UACAUAGCAUAUCAGAAGGCACACCCGGAGAACUGAAACAUCUUAGUACCCGGAGGAAGAGAAAGAAAAUUCGAUUCCCUUAGUAGCGGCGAGCGAAACGGGAAGAGCCCAAACCAACAAGCUUGCUUGUUGGGGUUGUAGGACACUCUAUACGGAGUUACAAAGGACGACAUUAGACGAAUCAUCUGGAAAGAUGAAUCAAAGAAGGUAAUAAUCCUGUAGUCGAAAAUGUUGUCUCUCUUGAGUGGAUCCUGAGUACGACGGAGCACGUGAAAUUCCGUCGGAAUCUGGGAGGACCAUCUCCUAAGGCUAAAUACUCUCUAGUGACCGAUAGUGAACCAGUACCGUGAGGGAAAGGUGAAAAGCACCCCGGAAGGGGAGUGAAAUAGAACCUGAAACCGUGUGCUUACAAGUAGUCAGAGCCCGUUAAUGGGUGAUGGCGUGCCUUUUGUAGAAUGAACCGGCGAGUUACGAUUUGAUGCAAGGUUAAGCAGUAAAUGUGGAGCCGUAGCGAAAGCGAGUCUGAAUAGGGCGUUUAGUAUUUGGUCGUAGACCCGAAACCAGGUGAUCUACCCUUGGUCAGGUUGAAGUUCAGGUAACACUGAAUGGAGGACCGAACCGACUUACGUUGAAAAGUGAGCGGAUGAACUGAGGGUAGCGGAGAAAUUCCAAUCGAACCUGGAGAUAGCUGGUUCUCUCCGAAAUAGCUUUAGGGCUAGCCUCAAGUGAUGAUUAUUGGAGGUAGAGCACUGUUUGGACGAGGGGCCCCUCUCGGGUUACCGAAUUCAGACAAACUCCGAAUGCCAAUUAAUUUAACUUGGGAGUCAGAACAUGGGUGAUAAGGUCCGUGUUCGAAAGGGAAACAGCCCAGACCACCAGCUAAGGUCCCAAAAUAUAUGUUAAGUGGAAAAGGAUGUGGCGUUGCCCAGACAACUAGGAUGUUGGCUUAGAAGCAGCCAUCAUUUAAAGAGUGCGUAAUAGCUCACUAGUCGAGUGACACUGCGCCGAAAAUGUACCGGGGCUAAACAUAUUACCGAAGCUGUGGAUUGUCCUUUGGACAAUGGUAGGAGAGCGUUCUAAGGGCGUUGAAGCAUGAUCGUAAGGACAUGUGGAGCGCUUAGAAGUGAGAAUGCCGGUGUGAGUAGCGAAAGACGGGUGAGAAUCCCGUCCACCGAUUGACUAAGGUUUCCAGAGGAAGGCUCGUCCGCUCUGGGUUAGUCGGGUCCUAAGCUGAGGCCGACAGGCGUAGGCGAUGGAUAACAGGUUGAUAUUCCUGUACCACCUAUAAUCGUUUUAAUCGAUGGGGGGGACGCAGUAGGAUAGGCGAAGCGUGCGAUUGGAUUGCACGUCUAAGCAGUAAGGCUGAGUAUUAGGCAAAUCCGGUACUCAUUAAGGCUGAGCUGUGAUGGGGAGAAGACAUUGUGUCUUCGAGUCGUUGAUUUCACACUGCCGAGAAAAGCCUCUAGAUAGAAAAUAGGUGCCCGUACCGCAAACCGACACAGGUAGUCAAGAUGAGAAUUCUAAGGUGAGCGAGCGAACUCUCGUUAAGGAACUCGGCAAAAUGACCCCGUAACUUCGGGAGAAGGGGUGCUCUUUAGGGUUAACGCCCAGAAGAGCCGCAGUGAAUAGGCCCAAGCGACUGUUUAUCAAAAACACAGGUCUCUGCUAAACCGUAAGGUGAUGUAUAGGGGCUGACGCCUGCCCGGUGCUGGAAGGUUAAGAGGAGUGGUUAGCUUCUGCGAAGCUACGAAUCGAAGCCCCAGUAAACGGCGGCCGUAACUAUAACGGUCCUAAGGUAGCGAAAUUCCUUGUCGGGUAAGUUCCGACCCGCACGAAAGGCGUAACGAUUUGGGCACUGUCUCAACGAGAGACUCGGUGAAAUCAUAGUACCUGUGAAGAUGCAGGUUACCCGCGACAGGACGGAAAGACCCCGUGGAGCUUUACUGUAGCCUGAUAUUGAAAUUCGGCACAGCUUGUACAGGAUAGGUAGGAGCCUUUGAAACGUGAGCGCUAGCUUACGUGGAGGCGCUGGUGGGAUACUACCCUAGCUGUGUUGGCUUUCUAACCCGCACCACUUAUCGUGGUGGGAGACAGUGUCAGGCGGGCAGUUUGACUGGGGCGGUCGCCUCCUAAAAGGUAACGGAGGCGCUCAAAGGUUCCCUCAGAAUGGUUGGAAAUCAUUCAUAGAGUGUAAAGGCAUAAGGGAGCUUGACUGCGAGACCUACAAGUCGAGCAGGGUCGAAAGACGGACUUAGUGAUCCGGUGGUUCCGUAUGGAAGGGCCAUCGCUCAACGGAUAAAAGCUACCCCGGGGAUAACAGGCUUAUCUCCCCCAAGAGUUCACAUCGACGGGGAGGUUUGGCACCUCGAUGUCGGCUCAUCGCAUCCUGGGGCUGUAGUCGGUCCCAAGGGUUGGGCUGUUCGCCCAUUAAAGCGGUACGCGAGCUGGGUUCAGAACGUCGUGAGACAGUUCGGUCCCUAUCCGUCGUGGGCGUAGGAAAUUUGAGAGGAGCUGUCCUUAGUACGAGAGGACCGGGAUGGACAUACCUCUGGUGUACCAGUUGUCGUGCCAACGGCAUAGCUGGGUAGCUAUGUGUGGACGGGAUAAGUGCUGAAAGCAUCUAAGCAUGAAGCCCCCCUCAAGAUGAGAUUUCCCAACUUCGGUUAUAAGAUCCCUCAAAGAUGAUGAGGUUAAUAGGUUCGAGGUGGAAGCAUGGUGACAUGUGGAGCUGACGAAUACUAAUCGAUCGAAGACUUAAUCAA
rnacentral:rRNA from 1 species